rnacentral:rRNA from 1 species
CGGUAGCUAAUACCGCAUAAUGUCGUAAGACCAAGUGGGGGACCGUUUUGGCCUCACACCUCCAGAUGAACCCAGAUGGGAUUAGCUAGUAGGUGAGGUAAUAGCUUACCUAGGCGACGAUCCCUAGCUGGUCUGAGAGGAUGACCAGCCACACUGGAACUGAGACACGGUCCAG